GAUCCUGUAGCUCAGCAUGGUUAGAGCGCCGCUCUGAUAAGGCGGAGGCCCUGGGUUCAAAUCCCAGCAGGAUCA
rnacentral:tRNA from 1 species